GAUGAAGAACGUAGCGAAAUGCGAUAAGUAAUGUGAAUUGCAGAAUUCAGUGAAUCAUCGAAUCUUUGAACGCACAUUGCGCCCGCCAGUAUUCUGGCGGGCAUGCCUGUUCGAGCGUCAUUUCAACCCUCAGGCCCCCAGUGCCUGGUGUUGGGGAUCGGCCCAGCCUUCCUGUAAGGCCGCCGGCCCCGAAAUCUAGUGGCGGUCUCGCUGUAGUCCUCCUCUGCGUAGUAGCACAGCCUCGCAGUUGGAACGCGGCGGUGGCCAUGCCAUUAAACACCCCACUUCUGAAAGUUGACCUCGGAUCAGGUAGGAAUACCCGCUGAACUUAAGCAUAUCAAUAAGCGGAGGA
rnacentral:misc_RNA from 1 species